rnacentral:rRNA from 1 species
CUCGUAGGCGGUUCGUCACGUCCGGUGUGAAAGUCCAUCGCUUAACGGUGGAUCUGCGCCGGGUACGGGCGGGCUGGAGUGCGGUAGGGGAGACUGGAAUUCCCGGUGUAACGGUGGAAUGUGUAGAUAUCGGGAAGAACACCAAUGGCGAAGGCAGGUCUCUGGGCCGUUACUGACGCUGAGGAGCGAAAGCGUGGGGAGCGAACA